AGCGAACGCUGGCGGCAGGCUUAACACAUGCAAGUCGAGCGGGCACUCCGGUGUCAGCGGCAGACGGGUGAGUAACACGUGGGAACGUACCCUUUGGUUCGGAAUAACGCUGGGAAACUAGCGCUAAUACCGGAUACGCCCUUUUGGGGAAAGGCUUGCUGCCGAAGGAUCGGCCCGCGUCUGAUUAGCUAGUUGGUGGGGUAAUGGCCUACCAAGGCGACGAUCAGUAGCUGGUCUGAGAGGAUGAUCAGCCACACUGGGACUGUGACACGGCCCAGACUCCUACGGGAGGCAGCAGUGGGGAAUAUUGGACAAUGGGCGCAGGCCUGAUCCAGCCAGGCCGCGUGAGUGAUGAAGGCCUUAGGGUAGUAAAGCUCUUUUGUCCGGGACGAUAAUGACGGUACCGGAAGAAUAAGCCCCGGCUAACUUCGUG
rnacentral:rRNA from 1 species